GGGCUGUCCAUUGGAAGAGAAGGAGGCACACCGCCAGCUCCUGAGGAGGGACAGCCAACGCUCCAGGGGCCAGCCAAGCAGGGAUGCACCUGGCAUCCCAGAUGGAGGUCCCCCUGCCCCAGAGUGGAGAACACGACAGUGAAGGACAUUUGAGCAACUUUGAAGCUACUCAAACAUGAUCUUGUACAGUGCCAACGUGGAGAGUUGUGCACAUAAGCACAAGGUACAAAGAAAGGAGCAGGACAGUCGGAGAUCACCAGAAACUCUGGCCUGCAUAAGAGCUGAUGCAUAGCUGCCAAGCUACUAGUGCCUAGUAGUUGGAAUAGGACCUAUGAGGAAAAAUAUAUACAAUAGCUCAUUAACCUGAUGAAAAUCAUGCUUAGACCAUGUCUUCCCAGAUGUUCUCCUCUUGUAUCGUGGACGCUUGCAAUUAAGAGUGGGUGUAACAAGAUUAAAGACUUCUACUAAUCAGUGUGGAGGACUACUGGUGGCUCCUUAAUCUUACUUGUGCCUGGCAUUUGUGCUGCAGUAAAACACCCUUGUAUUUCCUGCUUUGUACUAUGUAAGGACUUGUAGGAUCAGGAUUGGGAUGAACAGUGGUGGAGGAAUUCAAUAUUUCUGUGUCUGUUUACUGACUUUGGCUGUAAGCCAUGGUAAUGAGAAGUCUGCAAAAGGCAAGGGAUGAAAUGUGGAAGGGGAUGGAAGGUGAGGAAGGAGAAAGUAAAUAAGAAUCAGACCAGAACACAGAAUGCUCUUGGACAUGCAGCUCUGACUGAAGCUCAUGGGAGGUGAGUAAGAGCUCUUAAGGCACAAUAUGGCCUAUACAUUUUGUCAGUGUUCAAUAAUGCCUGUACUACUUCAGAAAAUGAAGCAACACUUAUUUAUUGAUAUAUAACUUUAUUAUGCACAGACUAAGAUGACAUGACACUGUGGUUAUCAAAACUGUACAACUAAGCAUUUCCCCAAGUCUUCUGAACACACUACUAAAUGGGGUGUUCAGACUGGCCAGAGGGAUUAAUGGAUUCAUUUCUCCCAUUGAUUUUUUUU